UCAAUGCAGAUGAAAAGAAUAACACCCAAAAAGAAGAAAUAACACCAAGGUCCAAAGUGAUGCAAAAAUUGCCGCACAAAACUACGGAAAGGCCCCAAAAAAGCUACUUGUUGCCAGAGCUCGAGUCUCCCCCCCCUGCGUGCGGCUGGAGCUGAGAACAGGGGAGCGAGCGAUAGAAGAGACGAGGCAGCAAGCGCAGAGUGAAGGAGAGAAAAGCUCGACUGAUGAUGAAAUAGGAGGUGCGGUGGAGCACGAGAGCCAGCCACUUUUUCAUCACACGUCCAACACGGCAAGGAACUGUAUAUGCACUUGAGAGAGGGAGGGUGGGAGACGGAGACCAAGAGGGAAAGAGAGAGAGAGAGAGAGAGAGAGAGAGAGAGAGGGAGAGAGAGAGGGAGAGAGAGAGAGGGAGAGAGAGAGAGGGAGAGAGACGGGGGAGAGAGAGAGAGAGACGGGGGAGAGUGGGAGGGCGGAAAGCAAUCGAGGGUGGGAGGGGGUAGAGGAGGAAGAAUGACACAGAAAUGCACUCCUCUGGCAGUGCGCAGACGCAGUGCACACAGUCACGCCAUACUAGCACUCUCUGCACCCCGGCAAUCAGCUACAGAAAAGAGCAUUCAAAAUAAGGAAACGAAAAAAAGAGAACGUACAAACACUCAGAGUGGACUGCCCUGCAUAAGGACAUUUGAAAUAUGCAACAGUUCUGAGAGCAGGUUAAAUGAUUAACCUUAUCUGGUACAGUACAGUACAGUACUGCAGCUCUCCCUCUCGUCAAGCUGCAACAGUCUGUCUGGAUCACAUGCUACAGCCAGCCACGGCUCACAGACAGAAAGUAUGAACUCUAGCAUGCCACAGCAGCUAGCGUGAAAGCAGCAUUGAGAAGACAAAGAGCAGAUAUGGAAAAAUGGGAGCUACUUGAGUAUAGUACUGUAGUGAAGCACGUGGCAGGGUAGAGAGCGGGGUUAGUAGAGUUACAGCACAGUAAGACGGUCCUCUUCCUGCCCUGGCUCUGCUUCUCCGAGGGGCUAAACAUCGCACGACCCUUACAGCGAUCUUGGCAAGGAGUCAAAAGCCUGAUAAGCGUUUUGGGUGAGACCUCACUGCUUUUCUAGAAGAAAAACAGCUGCUGUGAUUACAACGUGAUUGAGAAUUCACAGAAAACACGAGUGGUUCUGAUUUGUCCUGGCUAAAAAGGCACAGGAUAGCUUGUCCAAAUAGGAAAAGAUUGUUGAGUAUAUUUGCUUCUAAACUAUCCCUUACCCUGGAAUCAUCUAGAAUCCUGCAUUGUGGGGCGCUCCACCCGCCCUACACCCUGCCGUUUGCGCGUGCGCACACACACACACACACACACACACACUACAAAACAGCACGGCAGACCAGUCCUCCACCAUCUUAGUACAUACCGAUUAUCAUUUUGAUUUUCGUUUUUUUUUCUAUCUCUGUCUUUUUCAUACUUCCUCUUUCCCUCCCUCUCUCUGCCCCACCACCUUCUCCACCGUGCGACCAGCGUUGGGCUUUUCCCAUUUGUGGCAGAUUACUAUAACACUAUUGUAAAACAACUUCCUGCCUCUUUUGGCUCUGGUUCCAAAUAACGGCACAGGCUGGGCUCACACGCUUGAACUUUUUCCCCCCUCUCUGUCCCGAAGUAUCAGGAGCUCUAAAUAGGAAAGACAGAAAAGGGAAAAACGGUCAAAUCUCUGCACGUCUCCUGUUCUGGACUUAUUUUGAUGCCUUAUGUCUUUAAUGCCAGAUGAAAAGUAUAGCAGGGGAUUGCAUGCCUAGCAGAGAAAAAGGUGGGGGAAACUAUUAUUUUGCUUCUUUUACUGUGUGUAGCUUUCUGUUGGUUUGUGGAUGACAUUGUGCUGUUAGGUUAGCUCAGACGGGACAAGCCAACAUGGCUGCUCCUGUUUUGGGCUCUCAUCUCAUCUGCAGAGUGGGUCUUUGAGGAGCACUUUCCUAACGCCACCACCCGUUCGUUCCUCGCUGGCUCCCUCGCUAGAACAGCACGGCAACAGACGACCGGUUCCUCCGCUCGCUUACUCCGAGGACUCUCCCCUCUCCUCUCCGCCUCGCUUCACAACAAGGUUCAAUAAGACACAGGUGGCUACAUUCAAUGGACCUGCCGCUAGCAGGGACAAAAAAAAAAAACACUCUUUGUGUUUACUUACUGAAGAAAUGGUCCAGCUGAGUUAGGGCGUUAUUAGCAGUCUUUACAGUCUUCUUUUUAAAAACGAGAUACACUGGGUUGGAUGUGUCGGCCUGAGCUACAGUAGAUCCCUAGAACCCUAUCCAAAGCAGUGUAGCCUCACGUCACAUCUCGCCAUGUGUUUUUAGCCAAUUGAAAAAUCCACGUCUUUGGUUUUAACCAUAUACAUUGACACAUACUGUGGCUACGGUAGAUGUAUAUUAAGAUUGUGUAUUUGAUUGUAUGCCCUCUUCAGGUUCUGUAGAGGAUGUAGGAGAGAAAUGGACAUGUAACUAUGAAUCUGUUUGAGAUGUGGUUGGUUUGGAACUGUCUGCAGUUAUCAUUUAGCUUAGCGUGCACUUAAGAGUUUGCAACGGGUUCACUUGAGGAUAGGGUUUUGGUUUUGGGUGGCCUGCCAAUUUUCUACCACUGUGUGCCUCUACCUCGCUUCCCCUCUUCUCUACUUGGGUUGCAUUUGUCUGUAAUUAAUCACAUGCCGUUUUAUUUCAUCUAUACCUUGUGUUUUACAUUUGUAAAUGACCCCAACCAUGCUUUCUUUAAACACUUUUCAAAUAAUAAAUUAAGCAAUGUUAACAUGG